GACGAACGCUGGCGGCGUGCCUAAUACAUGCAAGUCGAGCGAUGAAGCUUGGUGCUUGCACCAAUUUGAAGAGCAGCGAACGGGUGAGUAACGCGUGGGGAAUCUGCCUUUGAGCGGGGGACAACAUUUGGAAACGAAUGCUAAUACCGCAUAACAACUUUAAACAUAAGUUUUAAGUUUGAAAGAUGCAAUUGCAUCACUCAAAGAUGAUCCCGCGUUGUAUUAGCUAGUUGGUGAGGUAAAGGCCCACCAAGGCGAUGAUACAUAGCCGACCUGAGAGGGGGAACCGGCACAUUGGGACCGGGACACGGGCCAAACUCCCACGGGGGGCAGGAGGAGGGAAUCUUCGGCCAUGGGCGAAAGGCUGGCCGGGCAACCCCGCGUUGGUGAAGAAGGGUUUCGGAUCGGAAAACUCUGUUGGUAGGGAAGAACGUUGGGGAGAGUGGAAAGCGCAUCAAGUGACGGUAACUACCCAGAAAGGGACGGCUAACUACGUG
rnacentral:rRNA from 1 species